ensembl:misc_RNA Metazoa_SRP Metazoan signal recognition particle RNA
GCCAGGUGUGGUGGUACGAACUUGUAGUCUCAGAUACUCAGGAGGGUGAGGCAGGAGGAUCGCUUGAGACAGGGAGUUCUGGGCUGUAGUGCGCUAUGCCAAUCAGUUUCCGCACUAAGGUCAGCAUCAAUUUGGUGACCCUCCUGGGAGCAAGGGACCACCAGGUUGCCUAAGGAGGCGUGAACCGGCCCAGGUCAGAAAUGGAGCAGGUCAAAAUUCCCAUGUUGAUCAGUAGUGAGAUGGUGCCUGUGAAUAGCCUCUGCACUCCAGCCUGGGCAACAAAGCAAGCCCAUCACUAA